rnacentral:lncRNA from 1 species
AUGCGCUUCUCUGUGGGUGAUUGCAGCUCCGAUCAUGGGCCCCCUGAGCCUCUGGAUGUACCCAAUCUUGUAUUCCGGAAGGGUCAGGAUGCCCAUGUCCCAGCCAGUCCUCCGGGAUCCAUACCAGACUCCAGACGGACCAGAAACAAGCAGUUGAAGACCACGGGGCAAACGUUUGAACUGGGAAGCAACGAUCGGCAUCGCGGAAAGACUCAUUGCUGCUGGACGCAGAACAUGCUUUGUUUAUUCACACUGUUGGCUUCUCAGUUCUUUGCUGUCAUCAUGGCAUCCAGCAGGUGCUCGGCAGGUGUGUCUCCUCCGGAUGAUAGAACUCCAGGUUUGCCUGCAGCACCUGUGAUCUGUCUCCUGCUGGACGCUGAGACCCCCCAGUGUCGCCUCUGGGAGCUGUGUGGGACCCUGCACACUAGAUGGAGCCUCUGCUGCCUGCCAGCAUGGGGGGACCUGCUUCUCAAGCCCGACCCCAUUCAUCGUCAGCCACGUACUGGGUGCCCGUGA